AGCGUACACGGUGGAUGCCCUGGCAGUCAGAGGCGAUGAAGGACGUGCUAAUCUGCGAAAAGCGUCGGUAAGGUGAUAUGAACCGUUAUAACCGGCGAUGUCCGAAUGGGGAAACCCAGUGCAAUUCGUUGCACUAUCGUUAACUGAAUACAUAGGUUAACGAGGCGAACCGGGGGAACUGAAACAUCUAAGUACCCCGAGGAAAAGAAAUCAACCGAGAUUCCCCCAGUAGCGGCGAGCGAACGGGGAGCAGCCCAGAGUCUGAAUCAGCUUGUGUGUUAGUGGAACGGUCUGGAAAGUCCGACGGUACAGGGUGAUAGUCCCGUACACCAAAAUGCACAGGCUGUGAACUCGAAGAGUAGGGCGGGACACGUGGUAUCCUGUCUGAAUAUGGGGGGACCAUCCUCCAAGGCUAAAUACUCCUGACUGACCGAUAGUGAACCAGUACCGUGAGGGAAAGGCGAAAAGAACCCCGGCGAGGGGAGUGAAAAAGAACCUGAAACCGUGUACGUACAAGCAGUGGGAGCACCUUCGGGUGUGACUGCGUACCUUUUGUAUAAUGGGUCAGCGACUUAUAUUCUGUAGCAAGGUUAACCGUAUAGGGGAGCCGCAGGGAAACCGAGUCUUAACUGGGCGUUAAGUUGCAGGGUAUAGACCCGAAACCCGGUGAUCUAGCCAUGGGCAGGUUGAAGGUUGGGUAACACUAACUGGAGGACCGAACCGACUAAUGUUGAAAAAUUAGCGGAUGACUUGUGGCUGGGGGUGAAAGGCCAAUCAAACCGGGAGAUAGCUGGUUCUCCCCGAAAGCUAUUUAGGUAGCGCCUCGUGAACUCAUCUUCGGGGGUAGAGCACUGUUUCGGCUAGGGGGUCAUCCCGACUUACCAACCCGAUGCAAACUACGAAUACCGAAGAAUGUUAUCACGGGAGACACACGGCGGGUGCUAACGUCCGUCGUGAAGAGGGAAACAACCCAGACCGCCAGCUAAGGUCCCAAAGUCAUGGUUAAGUGGGAAACGAUGUGGGAAGGCACAGACAGCCAGGAUGUUGGCUUAGAAGCAGCCAUCAUUUAAAGAAAGCGUAAUAGCUCACUGGUCGAGUCGGCCUGCGCGGAAGAUGUAACGGGGCUAAACCAUGCACCGAAGCUGCGGCAGCGACACUAUGUGUUGUUGGGUAGGGGAGCGUUCUGUAAGCCUGCGAAGGUGUGCUGUGAGGCAUGCUGGAGGUAUCAGAAGUGCGAAUGCUGACAUAAGUAACGAUAAAGCGGGUGAAAAGCCCGCUCGCCGGAAGACCAAGGGUUCCUGUCCAACGUUAAUCGGGGCAGGGUGAGUCGACCCCUAAGGCGAGGCCGAAAGGCGUAGUCGAUGGGAAACAGGUUAAUAUUCCUGUACUUGGUGUUACUGCGAAGGGGGGACGGAGAAGGCUAUGUUAGCCGGGCGACGGUUGUCCCGGUUUAAGCAUGUAGGCUGAUUGUCCAGGCAAAUCCGGAUAAUCAAGGCUGAGGUGUGAUGACGAGGCACUACGGUGCUGAAGUAACAAAUGCCCUGCUUCCAGGAAAAGCCUCUAAGCAUCAGGUAACAUCAAAUCGUACCCCAAACCGACACAGGUGGUCAGGUAGAGAAUACCAAGGCGCUUGAGAGAACUCGGGUGAAGGAACUAGGCAAAAUGGUGCCGUAACUUCGGGAGAAGGCACGCUGGUGUGUAGGUGAAGUCCCUGCGGAUGGAGCUGAGACCAGUCGAAGAUACCAGCUGGCUGCAACUGUUUAUUAAAAACACAGCACUGUGCAAACACGAAAGUGGACGUAUACGGUGUGACGCCUGCCCGGUGCCGGAAGGUUAAUUGAUGGGGUUAUCCGUAAGGAGAAGCUCUUGAUCGAAGCCCCGGUAAACGGCGGCCGUAACUAUAACGGUCCUAAGGUAGCGAAAUUCCUUGUCGGGUAAGUUCCGACCUGCACGAAUGGCGUAAUGAUGGCCAGGCUGUCUCCACCCGAGACUCAGUGAAAUUGAACUCGCUGUGAAGAUGCAGUGUACCCGCGGCAAGACGGAAAGACCCCGUGAACCUUUACUAUAGCUUGACACUGAACAUUGAGCCUUGAUGUGUAGGAUAGGUGGGAGGCUUUGAAGCGUGGACGCCAGUCUGCGUGGAGCCAACCUUGAAAUACCACCCUUUAAUGUUUGAUGUUCUAACGUUGGCCCCUGACCGGGGUUGCGGACAGUGUCUGGUGGGUAGUUUGACUGGGGCGGUCUCCUCCCAAAGCGUAACGGAGGAGCACGAAGGUUAGCUAAUCCUGGUCGGACAUCAGGAGGUUAGUGCAAUGGCAUAAGCUAGCUUGACUGCGAGCGUGACGGCGCGAGCAGGUGCGAAAGCAGGUCAUAGUGAUCCGGUGGUUCUGAAUGGAAGGGCCAUCGCUCAACGGAUAAAAGGUACUCCGGGGAUAACAGGCUGAUACCGCCCAAGAGUUCAUAUCGACGGCGGUGUUUGGCACCUCGAUGUCGGCUCAUCACAUCCUGGGGCUGAAGUAGGUCCCAAGGGUAUGGCUGUUCGCCAUUUAAAGUGGUACGCGAGCUGGGUUUAGAACGUCGUGAGACAGUUCGGUCCCUAUCUGCCGUGGGCGCUGGAGAAUUGAGGGGGGCUGCUCCUAGUACGAGAGGACCGGAGUGGACGCAUCACUGGUGUUCGGGUUGUCAUGCCAAUGGCACUGCCCGGUAGCUAAAUGCGGAAGAGAUAAGUGCUGAAAGCAUCUAAGCACGAAACUUGCCCCGAGAUGAGUUCUCCCUGAGACGUUAAGUCUCCUGAAGGAACGUUGU
rnacentral:rRNA from 1 species